AGUUUUGAUGCAAGUGACUUUUGUAAUUUAACAGAAUUCUACAAGAUUUUCUGUUUUAAAUAGUACUUUGAGUUUCAAGUGACAGACAUAAAGAUUGCAUAUUUGAGAAUUUAGAUGAGAAACCAGAGACAUUAGAAAACAAAUUGAUACUAAAGUUGCACAAACUGCUUUUAUAUUCAGUAGAAUAUAUAACCUGGUUUGUAUUUGUUUUCACAUUUUUUUUAACUGUUACUGCAGCUGGAUAUUGCGUGAUCACCUAUAUACUUGGAGUUGGAGACAGGCACCUGGAUAACCUUUUGCUAACAAAAACAGGUAUUCUAAUCUGAUUUUGAACUUGUUUUCCUUGAUGGUUGAUGCAAACAUUCCAGAUAUUGCACUUGAACCAGAUAAAACUGUGAAAAAGGUUCAGGAUAAAUUCCGUUUAGACCUGUCAGAUGAAGAGGCUGUGCAUUACAUGCAGAGUCUGAUUGAUGAGAGUGUCCAUGCUCUUUUUGCUGCAGUGGUGGAACAGAUUCACAAGUUUGCCCAGUACUGGAGAAAAUGAAACUGGAAUUGACCCAUCAAGAUGCUUGGCUCAAUAAGAAAACCACG
rnacentral:sRNA from 1 species